rnacentral:lncRNA from 1 species
AGCAGACCUGUAGUUAACAUCCACUCAGUCAGGGAAUGUGCUAGAUGUCAAUGACAAUGAAGUAUUAUUGGUGCGGGUAUAAGUGGUGGAUCGAAUGCAAGGGAAGCUAUGAAAGCUAUCCGGCAAGGAAGCAAGCUUGAGUCGAGGUCGGGGUUAACACUUAUAAGAGUGCGGGUAGGGCUUUCCCCUUGUAAUAGAGUUUAGGUCGGGCAGGUACGAAAUACUUGUUAGUCAGGUUGACUUACUUGCUAGUUAGGGUGUGGGUAUGGCUUGGCUUGUGUCAUUCUGUAUUGGUAGUCAGAGGAGAGUCGACUUGCCUAGUGUCUUGGCUGUUGCCAUAGGUAUGGUUAUCGGAGUGAGUUUGUUAGUGUUAGUAGAGGCUUUCAGCACCUUGCUUCUUUUCAUUUCCAUUGGAAUGUUCUGCUUUUCUACAGUACAAAAGCCUUAUGAAUUAGUAUUGGAAAGCUCUUUCCUUUCCUUGCAUUCGGCAUGGUUUUGGGACUUAGGCGGAGCCGUACCUUUACCUUCUUGGGGUUUAGGCCGAUACUCAUGUCUAUCAAUAACAGCAACUGGGGCAAGUGAACUUUAGCUAUGAAUGGAAUCAUGGUGCAAAUGAACUUAUUAACUCAACUCCGAAAUACAUAGACAGCUUAUGUCCUAUGCCUUCUUUAACAGGUAGGGGACUAUAAUCAAUUCAUAAAAAGUCGUUAAGUCACCUUCUUGCUGAGUUUUUCCACCAAGCAGACCUGAGAUAGAAGUCCAACCUUAAACCUAAUUUCACUUCAAGUACUAAAAACAAGUAAGUGGGAUCCCGCCUAGGCAAUUCAAUAGAAAUACAUUAGGUGUUUUCCCUCAUUGACUAUUUUCUUAAAAGGAAAGACAAAAGGGGGUGACAAGACCAGCGCAGCACGCCCGACUGGAAUAUUGACUAUCCCGUAGAACAGAACUGACCUAGUCACUCGUUAAGGAGCUGGUAAUCAUGGAAUAUAGUAUAUGUAGGUUUAGGUCUUCCUAGAGCGAAGCCACAUGUGUUUUAUACGUUCUGAUCCGACAUUAAGAAUGAUUUACUUCACUUCAUCCGCGAGUAAGGAUAGCCCAUUACGAGGUUCCGUUUCAAGGGAACAGUCUCAAGCGCGAGUCAAUCAGUAUCUGGGUGCGAGUGCGGUUAAAAGCGGUUCCAUUAUCUUUUCCGUUCUGGUUUUGUAUCCGAUAUAAGCCGAAUGCAAGUAAGGGUAAGGCGAGAAAUCAAUAAGGGAGUUUCACCUGGAAAGAUAGAGCAGGGUAUAAAGCUUUCACCGCUAAGUCUCAAGAGAGGAUUGAGCUCGAGAAUCAGAAUCCGCUGUUACCCUGUUGAGUGAGACUUUGAUACAGUAAUUUCAUUAUGACUUUUUGCCGAGAAUAAUCCGUAGAAAGAUGAAGUUUCGAGUGGUGGCGAAAAGAAGCUAGUUGAGUAUAGUAUGGGAGAAGAAUCCUGAGAAGAAUGCAAGAUAAGUAGAACAAGCAACGGCUACUAGAAACUCAUAUUCUCACAUUAAACAAGUAACGAACGACUAAACUGUACCUGAAAGAAGCAACAGUGCACUCUCCUUAAAAUCAGCUAGCAAAGGAGCCGGAAUCAAAAAACUCAUUUAUGGUUUCGGGGCGCAAGUCAGCUACAAGCGGUUCUAAAUUAGUUGUCGACUCUAAAUCGGGGUCAGGAUCCGUGCCAAAGUAAGCAGGAAGUCGUUCUUGAUUGAGUAGAAAGAUAAGGAGCAGUGUAUCUACUCGCUUCUAUAUCUUGAAAGUAAGCUAACACAUUAUCCCUUCCACAAAGCCAGGAAAGUCAAAGAAUAGAAUAUAAGAUUGGCACCCAGCUUUCGAUACGGCUGCUACUACUUCACUGCCCUAACUCAGUUGCUUGUUUUGUUCUAAAGCCCUAACUCAGUUGCUUGUUUAGUUCUAGAAUAAGAUAA